AGGCCCCGCUGGGGCUGACCGGGCCGCGCCCUCCUCGUGACCCACUGUGGGGCCGAGCCCCGGCCACACCGCUGGCCGAGAUGCGGGAAAGGUGCUGACGAGGCGGGCUCGGGCGGGGAGGGGCGCCGGGCCCUGCGCGAGGCUUUCCCGAGGUUGCUAGCCGGCCGGGCGGCCCCCAGGCGUCCCGAACGCCGUCGGGUCCGCUUUUAGGCCGGCCGCCGACUUCCUGGCGCCCUGGGCGGCCGCGCCCUCGUGCUGGCGGGACCGAGCCUGGACUCCGGCCCCCGGGUCCUCCGGGGCAGCGGGGUGGCCUCGGGGCACGUGGGGCCGGGCCGCGCCCGCAGCUCCAGACCGCGCGGCUCUGCGGGGAAGGAGCAGCCGCGCCCCCGGGCCCGGGCCCUCCCCGCCCCGCCUCCCCGGUGUGGGCCAACCCUCAGCGGGCUGCUCCGGCCAGGUGGGGAAAGAAGGAGCGUGGGCUUUGGAAGGAGACCUGGAUUUGAAUCCUGGCCUGCCACUUCCGUUGCCUUGAGCAAUUUGAGUCAUUCAGUAUCUCUGACUGUCGGAUUUUCCUGUAAAAUACAGAUAGUAGCAUCCACUUCACAGACUUAGUAGUCUAGCACAUGGCUUAGACAUUCCAUAAAGAAAAAAAGAUGGGGGCCUCUUCACCUGUGAUCCAACCUGUUCAUAUGGAAGGAGGUUGGUCUCUUAAAGCAUUAUUCACAAUAGCCAAGACUUGGAAGCAACCUAAGUGCCCAUCAAGGGACGAAUGGAUGAAGAAGAUGUGGUAUAUAUGCACAAUGGAAUAAUACUCAGCCAUAAGAAACGAUGAAAUCCAGCCAUUUGUGACAACAUGGAUGGACAUUGAGGAUAUUAGGCUAAGUGAAUUAAGUCAGAAGGAGAAGG